GAUGAAGACGUAGCGAAAUGCGAUAAGUAAUGUGAAUUGCAGAAUUCAGUGAAUCAUCGAAUCUUUGAACGCACAUUGCGCCCGCCAGUAUUCUGGCGGGCAUGCCUGUUCGAGCGUCAUUUCAACCAUCAAGCCCCCGGCUUGUGUUGGGGACCUGCGGCUGCCGCAGGCCCUGAAAUGCAGUGGCGGGCUCGCUGUCACUCCGAGCGUAGUAGUUACAUCUCGCUCUGGGCGUGCUGCGGGUUCCGGCCGUUAAAAGCCUUAUUUACCCAAGGUUGACCUCGGAUCAGGUAGGAAGACCCGCUGAACUUAAGCAUAUCAAUAAGCGGAGGA
rnacentral:misc_RNA from 1 species